UACGGAGGGUGCGAGCGUUGUCCGGAAUUAUUGGGCGUAAAGAGCUCGUAGGCGGUGUGUCACGUCGGCCGUGAAAACCUGCAGCUUAACUGUGGGCGUGCGGUCGAUACUGGCAUCACUGGAGUUCGGCAGGGGAGACUGGAAUUCCUGGUGUAGCGGUGAAAUGCGCAGAUAUCAGGAGGAACACCGGUGGCGAAGGCGAGUCUCUGGGCCGAUACUGACGCUGAGGAGCGAAAGCGUGGGGAGCAAACAGG
rnacentral:rRNA from 1 species